rnacentral:rRNA from 1 species
AACGAACGCUGGCGGCAGGCUUAACACAUGCAAGUCGAACGGGUGUAGCAAUACAUCAGUGGCAGACGGGUGAGUAACACGUGGGAACCUUCCUAGGGGUACGGAACAACUCAGGGAAACUUGAGCUAAUACCGUAUACGUCCGUGAGGAGAAAGAUUUAUCGCCCUUAGACGGGCCCGCGUCGGAUUAGCUAGUUGGUGGGGUAACGGCCUACCAAGGCGACGAUCCGUAGCUGAUCUUAGAGGAUGAUCAGCCACACUGGGACUGAGACACGGCCCAGACUCCUACGGGAGGCAGCAGUGGGGAAUCUUGGACAAUGGGCGCAAGCCUGAUCCAGCCAUGCCGCGUGAGUGAAGAAGGUCUUCGGAUUGUAAAGCUCUUUUGCCAGGGACGAUAAUGACGGUACCUGGAGAAUAAGCCCCGGCAAACUUCGUGCCAGCAGCCGCGGUAACAC